GACGAACGCUGGCGGCGUGCUUAACACAUGCAAGUCGAACGGAAAGUCCCUGCUUUUGUGGGGUGCUCUAGUGGCGAACGGGUGAGUAACACGUGAGUAACCUGCCCUUGACUUUGGGAUAACUUCAGGAAACUGGGGCUAAUACCGGAUAGGAUCUCCUGCUGCAUGGUGGGGGUUGGAAAGUUUCGGCGGUUGGGGAUGGACUCGCGGCUUAUCAGCUUGUUGGUGGGGUAGUGGCUUACCAAGGCUUUGACGGGUAGCCGGCCUGAGAGGGUGACCGGACACAUUGGGACUGAGAUAAGGCACAGACUCCUACGGGACGCAGCAGUGGGGAAUAUUGCACAAUGGGCGGAAGCAUGAUGCAGCAAAGCCGCGUGCGGGAUGACGGCCUUCGGGUUGUAAACCGCUUUCGCCUGUGACGAAGCGUGAGUGACGGUAAUGGGUAAAGAAGCACCGGCUAACUACGUG
rnacentral:rRNA from 1 species